rnacentral:rRNA from 1 species
AGUGAACGCUGGCGGAAGGCCUAACACAUGCAAGUCGAACGGCAGCACAGUGAGAGCUUGCUCUUACGGGUGGCGAGUGGCGGACGGGUGAGGAAUACAUCGGAAUCUACUUUUUCGUGGGGGAUAACGUAGGGAAACUUACGCUAAUACCGCAUACGACCUACGGGUGAAAGCAGGGGAUCUUCGGACCUUGCGCGAUUGAAUGAGCCGAUGUCGGAUUAGCUAGUUGGCGGGGUAAAGGCCCACCAAGGCGACGAUCCGUAGCUGGUCUGAGAGGAUGAUCAGCCACACUGGAACUGAGACACGGUCCAGACUCCUACGGGAGGCAGCAGUGGGGAAUAUUGGACAAUGGGCGCAAGCCUGAUCCAGCCAUACCGCGUGGGUGAAGAAGGCCUUCGGGUUGUAAAGCCCUUUUGUUGGGAAAGAAAAGCAGCAGGUUAAUACCCCGCUGUUCUGACGGUACCCAAAGAAUAAGCACCGGCUAACUUCGUG